AACGCGAAGAACCUUACCUGGGUUUGAAAUGCAGAUGUAAGCCUCAGAGAUGAGGUCCCCUCUUCGGAGGUAGCUGCAUAGGUGCUGCAUGGCUGUCGUCAGCUCGUGUCGUGAGAUGUUGGGUUAAGUCCCGCAACGAGCGCAACCCUUGUCCAUAGUUGCUAACGGGUCAAGCCGAGAACUCUAUGGAGACUGCCGGUGAUAAACCGGAGGAAGGUGGGGAUGACGUCAAGUCCUCAUGGCCUUUAUGUCCAGGGCUACACACGUGCUACAAUGGACGGUACAAAGAGUCGCGAAGCCGCGAGGCAGAGCUAAUCUCAAAAAGCCGUUCUCAGUUCGGAUUGCAGUCUGCAACUCGACUGCAUGAAGCUGGAAUCGCUAGUAAUCGCGGAUCAGCACGCCGCGGUGAAUACGUUCCCGGGCCUUGUACACACCGUACGUC
rnacentral:rRNA from 1 species